GCGUGCUUAACACAUGCAAGUCGAACGAGAAUCUACGGAUCGAGGAUUCGUCCAAGUGAAGUAGAGGACAGUGGCGGACGGGUGAGUAACGCGUGAGGAACCUGCCUUUCAGAGGGGGACAACAGUUGGAAACGACUGCUAAUACCGCAUGACACAUUGGGGUCGCAUGGCCCUGAUGUCAAAGAUUUAUCGCUGAAAGAUGGCCUCGCGUCUGAUUAGCUAGUUGGUGAGGUAACGGCCCACCAAGGCGACGAUCAGUAGCCGGACUGAGAGGUUGACCGGCCACAUUGGGACUGAGAUACGGCCCAGACUCCUACGGGAGGCAGCAGUGGGGAAUAUUGGGCAAUGGGCGCAAGCCUGACCCAGCAACGCCGCGUGAAGGAAGAAGGCUUUCGGGUUGUAAACUUCUUUUGUCAGGGACGAGUAGAAGACGGUACCUGACGAAUAAGCCACGGCUAACUACGUGCCAGCAGCCGCGGUAAUACGUAGGUGGCAAGCGUUGUCCGGAUUUACUGGGUGUAAAGGGCGUGUAGCCGGGAAGGCAAGUCAGAUGUGAAAUCCACGGGCUCAACUCGUGAACUGCAUUUGAAACUGUUUUUCUUGAGUAUCGGAGAGGCAAUCGGAAUUCCUAGUGUAGCGGUGAAAUGCGUAGAUAUUAGGAGGAACACCAGUGGCGAAGGCGGAUUGCUGGACGACAACUGACGGUGAGGCGCGAAA
rnacentral:rRNA from 1 species